AGAUGGAGCCGCCCACCGCCGUCAUGGCCACCACGAUGUCCUGCAUGCCGGCCGGCUCGGCGGUGAACUCCACGCACUCGGCCGGCUCGGGGGUCUCUGGCGCGGCGGCGGCGGGCCCAGCGCGCAGCGGCAGCGGCUGCAGGCACAGGCGGUAGAGGACGCUGUCGUGCACGUCGGGCAGCAGGACGGACAGCGCCCACCCGGAGGAAAGCCUGACAGAUGAGACUUCGCAAGGAACCUGCCAGUUCAGGGAGGCCCACCUUUCUAGAAGGUUAACAGGAACUUCCAGCCUCCAGCCUACUUAGUGACCAGCUGCUGGAGGACAGUGAGUGGCCCCUGCUGUCCGCAUCUCCACAGGGGUCACCAAGCGCACUCACAGGGUCCCCCUCCACCUGGAGCAGAGAAUUCGGAGGAGCCCGUCUUGCUGUCUUUUCUGAUGUUGUUAAACUAUGCUUGGGCCUGUCCUUUGCUGAAAGGAGCUUUCUACACAGCUGGACUUCUGAGGUGGGACCUGCCACGUGCUAACUCUGGCACUCGGAGCGGUCUCUGCCACUGGCAAUGUCCUGUCCUGA